rnacentral:rRNA from 1 species
GAUGAACGCUAGCGGCGGGCCUAAUACAUGCAAGUUGAACGGGAUUGUUGGUAGCAAUAUUGACAUGAGAGUGGCGCACGGGUGCGUAACACGUAUGUAACCUACCUUUAACUGGGGCAUAGCUUCGAGAAAUCGAAAUUAAUACCCCAUAACAUUUAGAAAAGGCAUCUUUUCUUUAUCAAAGCUCAGGCGGUUAAGGAUGGACGUGCGGUGCAUUAGCUUGUUGGUGAGGUAACGGCUCACCAAGGCUACGAUGCAUAGGGGGUCUGAGAGGAUGAUCCCCCACACUGGUACUGAGACACGGACCAGACUCCUACGGGAGGCAGCAGUAGGGAAUAUUGGGCAAUGGACGAAAGUCUGACCCAGCCACGCCGCGUGAAGGAUGAAUGCCCUCUGGGUUGUAAACUUCUUUUGUAUGGGAAGAAAAUUCCGAACGUGUUCGGAGCUGACGGUACCAUAAGAAUAAGCAUCGGCUAACUCCGUGCCAGCAGCCGCGGU